GAAAAGGGGUUGUAAUCUCACGGAUGGCAGGAAAUGCUCCCGUUAAUGGCAAUAAAAAAGAUGCUUUUAUUUAUGUAUUUCUGUUCCAGGGAGGGCUGCCUGUGAUUCCAAGUCCCCGUUUCUUUCCUGAUACAGUGUGCUUAGUUUGGGUUUUCAUUUGAUCUGUGUGAUUCUGCUCACCUAUUUCUACCGUUGAAUGUUACUGUGAACAUCAAGACACAAUAAAAUGGGAAAAAACCUACCUUGUCCAGUGCUUCUGUGUAGUAUGUUUUCCCACCUGUCGUUGCUAUUUGCUUUUUCCUAUUCAGUUUCUUUUGUUUCUGUGAUGAACAGCCCAGCCCAGCUGUUAGCCCGGCAGAUGUCAGAGGUGCACUAGCAGUGAAUGUUACAUCUCUAAGCUUGCUUCAUCUGCCCCAGGCUCUGUUUCUCUAAAGGGCAAGCUAUAAUUUGUUUUCCACUUCUUUCCUGCCUUUACCAACUUUUGUUUCAUCAUUGUUAAAAUAUACCUGCUUUUUGUUUUUGUUUUUAGUAAUUGCAGGAGUUCCAGGAAAUAUCCAAUGCAAAAGGUGAAGCAGAAGUUAAAUAAAAAGUAGGAGCAGCCAUUAGAGAUGAAGAAAGGAAAUUUAGGUGGACAACCAGGAACUUAAUGGAAUCACAGUGAUGUAAAAUAAGUGAGAUCUUGCUAUUCUGGGAGUAAUCACUGAGAGGAGAUUGUGAGCUUGUACUCGAAUGCUAUGUAGCCCCUCUGGAUGUGUUCUGUUUGGAUCGCAGUGGAAGCUACAUUCUUAUCUGGGGUGACUCUGGUAUUCAACCUGAUCUACACAGGAGGAAGACUUACAUGGGAGCUGGAAUUCUGACAUUGUGAUCAGAGGGUGGCAGCUGUUUCAAGCCUUUGUGGUACAGUUUCUUGCAAGCAGAACAUUUGUUGCCAGUAUGGUACUAGACAGAAACAAUAUUGGUCAUGAAAGACACAAUAAGUUUUCAGAGGAAGUGACAUAUGUAACUGUUUGCAUAGAGACAACCUAAGACUUCUAUAAAUCUAUAAAUUAAUUCCAUUCAGGCUCCAUCAGUGAUCUGGUAUGUGAUUUUGAACAAUUUAC